CGGAGGGCAUUUACAUGUUUCAGAACCACACCUGUGCCGCCUAGAAACUGCUAUGAACUUAGAUUCCAGCACUGGUUACAGUUCUGCAAGAGAAGCCCCCUGAAGUGGAGGAGAGCGUUGCCACUUAAAAGCCUGUUCAAGGUCAGUUCAUGUUUAUUUUU
rnacentral:lncRNA from 1 species